rnacentral:pre_miRNA from 1 species
CAACUACUCCCUCUGUCCCAAAUUUCUUGUCUUAGAUUUGUCUAGAUACGAAUGUAUCUAAUACUAAAAUGUGACUUGAUACAUCUGUAUCUAGACAAAUCCAAGACAAGAAUUUUGGGACGGAGGGAGUACUUU